rnacentral:rRNA from 1 species
GUAGGGAAUAUUGCGCAAUGGACGAAAGUCUGACGCAGCGACGCCGCGUGAGUGAUGAAGGCCUUAGGGUCGUAAAGCUCUGUUGAAUGGGAAGAAAAAAAUGACGGUACCAUUCGAGGAAGGACCGGCUAACUUCGUGCCAGCAGCCGCGGUAAUACGAGGGGUCCUAGCGUUGUUCGGAAUCAUUGGGCGUAAAGGGUGUGUAGGUGGCCAUGUAAGUCAGGUGUGAAAGCCCCGGGCUCAACCCGGGAAGUGCACUUGAUACUGCGUGGCUCGAGUACCGAAGAGGGUAGUGGAAUUCCAGGUGUAGUGGUGAAAUACGUAGAUAUCUGGAGGAACACCGGUGGCGAAGGCGGCUACCUGGUCGAGUACUGACACUGAGACACGAAAGCAUGGGGAUCAAACAGGAUUAGAAACCCCUGUAGUCC